rnacentral:rRNA from 1 species
UACGUAGGGUGCAAGCGUUAUCCGGAAUUAUUGGGCGUAAAGAGCGUGUAGGCGGCCCGGUAAGUCCGUUGUGAAAGUCCAGGGCUCAACCCUGGAAAGCCGAUGGAUACUGCCGGGCUAGAGUUCGGAAGAGGCGAGUGGAAUUCCUGGUGUAGCGGUGGAAUGCGCAGAUAUCAGGAGGAACACCUAUAGCGAAGGCAGCUCGCUGGGACGACACUGACGCUGAGACGCGAAAGCGUGGGGAGCAAACAGG